rnacentral:rRNA from 1 species
AUACGGAGGAUCCGAGCGUUAUCCGGAUUUAUUGGGUUUAAAGGGUGCGCAGGCGGCCAUUUAAGUCAGCGGUUAAAUCGUGGGGCUCAACCCCAUUCUGCCGUUGAUACUGGGUGGCUUGAUUGCGGUCGAGGUUGGCGGAAUUCGUUGUGUAGCGGUGAAAUGCAUAGAUAUGACGAAGAACACCGAUUGCGUAGGCAGCUGACCAGACCGCAAAUGACGCUCAUGCACGAAAGUGCGGGGAUCGAACAGGAUUAGAUACCCUGGUAGUCCGCACAGUAAACGAUGAAUACUUGUUUUCGGCGAUAUAAUGUUGGAGGCAAAGCGAAAGCGAUAAGUAUUCCACCUGGGGAGUACGCCGGCAACGGUGAAACUCAAAGGAAUUGACGGGG